GGCUGGUCCGAAGGUAGUGAGUUAUCUCAAUUGAUUGUUCACAGUCAAUACAGAUUGAACUCCUUGUUCUACUCUUUCCCCCCUUCUCACUACUGCACUUGACUAGUCUUAA
ensembl:misc_RNA Y_RNA Y RNA